UGGGGAAUUUUGGACAAUGGGGGAAACCCUGAUCCAGCCAUCCCGCGUGUGCGAUGAAGGCCUUCGGGUUGUAAAGCACUUUUGGCAGGAAAGAAACGUCAUGGGUUAAUACCCCGUGAAACUGACGGUACCUGCAGAAUAAGCACCGGCUAACUACGUGCCAGCAGCCGCGGUAAUACGUAGGGUGCAAGCGUUAAUCGGAAUUACUGGGCGUAAAGCGUGCGCAGGCGGUUCGGAAAGAAAGAUGUGAAAUCCCAGAGCUCAACUUUGGAACUGCGUUUUUAACUACCGGGCUAGAGUGUGUCAGAGGGAGGUGGAAUUCCGCGUGUAGGAGUGAAAUGCGUAGAUAUGCGGAGGAACACCGAUGGCGAAGGCAGCCUACUGGGAUAACACUGACGCUCAUGCACGAAAGAGUGGGGAGCAAACAGG
rnacentral:rRNA from 1 species